GGGGAUGUAAGCUCAGUUGGCUAGAGCGCUUGCAUGGCAUGCAAGAGGCCAGGGGUUCGAGUCCCCUUAUCUCCA
rnacentral:tRNA from 1 species